rnacentral:rRNA from 1 species
GACGAACGCUGGCGGCGUGCUUAACACAUGCAAGUCGAACGGAAAGGCCCUGCUUUUGUGGGGUGCUCGAGUGGCGAGCGGGUGAGUAACACGGGAGUAACCUGCCCUUGACUUUGGGAUAACUUCAGGAAACUGGGGCUAAUACCGGAUAGGAGAUCCUGCUGCAUGGUGGGGGUUGGAAAGUUUCGGCUGUGGGGGAUGGACUCGCGGCUUAUCAGCUUGUUGGGGGGGUAGUGGCUUACCAAGGGUUUGACGGGUAGCCUGCCUGGGAGGGUGACCGGCCACAUGGGUCCUGAGAGACGGCCCAGACGCCAACGGGAGGCAGCGGGGGGAAAUAUGGCACAAUGGGCGGAAGCCUGAGGCAGCAACCUCGCGUGCGGGAUGCCGGCUUUCGGGUGGUAAACCGCUUUCGCCUGUGACGAAGCGGUAGUGACGGUAAUGGGUAAAGAAGCACCGGCUAACUACGUG